AGCGUUAUCCGGAAUUAUUGGGCGUAAAGAGCUCGUAGGCGGUUUGUCGCGUCUGCUGUGAAAUCCGGAGGCUCAACCUCCGGCCUGCAGUGGGUACGGGCAGACUAGAGUGCGGUAGGGGAGAUUGGAAUUCCUGGUGUAGCGGUGGAAUGCGCAGAUAUCAGGAGGAACACCGAUGGCGAAGGCAGAUCUCUGGGCCGUAACUGACGCUGAGGAGCGAAAGGGUGGGGAGCAAACAGGCUUAGAUACCCUGGUAGUCCACCCCGUAAACGUUGGGAACUAGUUGUGGGGUCCAUUCCACGGAUUCCGUGACGCAGCUAACGCAUUAAGUUCCCCGCCUGGGGAGUACGGCCGCAAGGCUAAAACUCAAAGGAAUUGACGGGGACCCGCACAAGCGGCGGAGCAUGCGGAUUAAUUCGAUGCAACGCGAAGAACCUUACCAAGGCUUGACAUAUACGAGAACGGGCCAGAAAUGGUCAACUCUUUGGACACUCGUAAACAGGUGGUGCAUGGUUGUCGUCAGCUCGUGUCGUGAGAUGUUGGGUUAAGUCCCGCAACGAGCGCAACCCUCGUUCUAUGUUGCCAGCACGUAAUGGUGGGAACUCAUGGGAUACUGCCGGGGUCAACUCGGAGGAAGGUGGGGAUGACGUCAAAUCAUCAUGCCCCUUAUGUCUUGGGCUUCACGCAUGCUACAAUGGCCGGUACAAAGGGCUGCAAUACCGCGAGGUGGAGCGAAUCCCAAAAAGCCGGUCCCAGUUCGGAUUGAGGUCUGCAACUCGACCUCAUGAAGUCGGAGUCGCUAGUAAUCGCAGAUCAGCAACGCUGCGGUGAAUACGUUCCCGGGUCUUGUACACACCGCCCGUCAAGUCAUGAAAGUCGGUAACACCUGAAGCCGGUGGCC
rnacentral:rRNA from 1 species